rnacentral:rRNA from 1 species
UGGGGAAUUUUGGACAAUGGGCGAAAGCCUGAUCCAGCAAUGCCGCGUGUGUGAAGAAGGCCUUCGGGUUGUAAAGCACUUUUGUCCGGAAAGAAAUCCUUGGCUCUAAUACAGUCGGGGGAUGACGGUACCGGAAGAAUAAGCACCGGCUAACUACGUGCCAGCAGCCGCGGUAAUACGUAGGGUGCAAGCGUUAAUCGGAAUUACUGGGCGUAAAGCGUGCGCAGGCGGUUUGCUAAGACCGAUGUGAAAUCCCCGGGCUCAACCUGGGAACUGCAUUGGUGACUGGCAGGCUAGAGUAUGGCAGAGGGGGGUAGAAUUCCACGUGUAGCAGUGAAAUGCGUAGAGAUGUGGAGGAAUACCGAUGGCGAAGGCAGCCCCCCUGGGCCAAUACUGACGCUCAUGCACGAAAGCGUGGGGGAGCAAACAGGAUUAGAUACCCUGGUAGUCCACGCCCUAAACGAUGUCAACUAGUUGUUGGGGAUUCAUUUCCUUAGUAACGUAGCUAACGCGUGAAGUUGACCGCCUGGGGAGUACGGUCGCAAGAUUAAAACUCAAAGGAAUUGACGGGGUCAUAGCUGUUU